UGGGGAAUUUUGGACAAUGGGGGAAACUCUGAUCCAGCCAUCCCGCGUGUGCGAUGAAGGCCUUCGGGUUGUAAAGCACUUUUGGCAGGAAAGAAACGUCAUGGGUUAAUACCCCGUGAAACUGACGGUACCUGCAGAAUAAGCACCGGCUAACUACGUGCCAGCAGCCGCGGUAAUACGUAGGGUGCAAGCGUUAAUCGGAAUUACUGGGCGUAAAGCGUGCGCAGGCGGUUCGGAAAGAAAGAUGUGAAAUCCCAGAGCUCAACUUUGGAACUGCAUUUUUAACUGCCGGGCUAGAGUGUGUCAGAGGUAGGUGGAAUUCCGCGUGUAGCAGUGAAAUGCGUAGAUAUGCGGAGGAACACCGAUGGCGAAGGCAGCCUCCUGGGAUAACACUGACGCUCAUGCACGAAAGCGUGGGGAGCAAACAGG
rnacentral:rRNA from 1 species